UGGGGAAUAUUGCGCAAUGGGCGAAAGCCUGACGCAGCGACGCCGCGUGAGGGAUGAAGGUUUUCGGAUCGUAAACCUCUGUCAGAAGGGAAGAAACCGCACUGUGCUAAUCAGCAGUGCCUUGACGGUACCUUCAAAGGAAGCACCGGCUAACUCCGUGCCAGCAGCCGCGGUAAUACGGAGGGUGCAAGCGUUAAUCGGAAUUACUGGGCGUAAAGCGCACGUAGGCUGCUUUGUAAGUCAGGGGUGAAAUCCCACGGCUCAACCGUGGAACUGCCUUUGAUACUGCUUAGCUUGAAUCCGGGAGAGGGUGGCGGAAUUCCAGGUGUAGGAGUGAGAUCCGUAGAUAUCUGGAGGAACAUCAGUGGCGAAGGCGGCCACCUGGACCGGUAUUGACGCUGAGGUGCGAAAGCGUGGGGAGCAAACAGG
rnacentral:rRNA from 1 species